rnacentral:rRNA from 1 species
UGGGGAAUUUUGCGCAAUGGGCGAAAGCCUGACGCAGCAACGCCGCGUGGGUGAUGAAGGUCUUCGGAUCGUAAAACCCUGUCGUCAGGGACGAAGGUCGGUCGUUGAAUAGGCGAUUGGCUUGACGGUACCUGGAGAGGAAGCCCCGGCUAACUCUGUGCCAGCAGCCGCGGUAAUACAGAGGGGGCAAGCGUUAUUCGGAAUUAUUGGGCGUAAAGGGCGCGUAGGCGGUUUUUUAAGUGAGAUGUGCAAUCCCCGAGCUUAACUUGGGAACUGCAUCUCAGACUGGAAGGCUAGAGUGCUGGAGAGGGUGGUAGAAUUCCACGUGUAGCGGUGAAAUGCGUAGAGAUGUGGAGGAAUACCAGUGGCGAAGGCGGCCACCUGGACAGUAACUGACGCUGAGGCGCGAAAGUGUGGGUAGCAAACA